rnacentral:rRNA from 1 species
CUACGUGCCAGCAGCCGCGGUAAUACGUAGGUGGCAAGCGUUGUCCGGAAUUAUUGGGCGUAAAGCGCGCGCAGGCGGAUUGGUCAGUCUGUCUUAAAAGUUCGGGGCUUAACCCCGUGAUGGGAUGGAAACUGCCAAUCUAGAGUAUCGGAGAGGAAAGUGGAAUUCCUAGUGUAGCGGUGAAAUGCGUAGAUAUUAGGAAGAACACCAGUGGCGAAGGCGACUUUCUGGACGAAAACUGACGCUGAGGCGCGAAAGCCAGGGGAGCGAACGGGAUUAGAUACCCCGGUAGUCCUGGCCGUAAACGAUGGGUACUAGGUGUAGGAGGUAUCGACCCCUUCUGUGCCGGAGUUAACGCAAUAAGUACCCCGCCUGGGGAGUACGACCGCAAGGUUGAAACUCAAAGGAAUUGACGGGGGCCCGCACAAGCGGCGGAGCAUGCGGAUUAAUUCGAUGCAACGCGAAGAACCUUACCAAGGCUUGACAUGC